AGGACGAACGCUGGCGGCGUGCUUAACACAUGCAAGUCGAGCGGAAAGGCCCUUCGGGGUACUCGAGCGGCGAACGGGUGAGUAACACGUGAGCAACCUGCCCUUAGCUCCGGGAUAGCUCCGGGAAACCGGAAUUAAUACCGGAUAUGACCUAGGCCGACAUCGGCUGUGGUGGAAAGUUUUUCGGCUGGGGAUGGACUCGCGGCCUAUCAGCUUGUUGGUGGGGUAAUGGCCUACCAAGGCGACGACGGGUAGCCGGCCUGAGAGGGCGACCGGCCACACUGGGACUGAGACACGGCCCAGACUCCUACGGGAGGCAGCAGUGGGAAUCUUGCGCAAUGGGCGAAAGCCUGACGCAGCGACGCCGCGUGGGGGAUGAAGGCCUUCGGGUUGUAAACCCCUUUCAGCAGGGACGAAGCGAAAGUGACGGUACUGCAGAAGAAGCGCCGGCUAACUACGCGCCAGCAGCCGC
rnacentral:rRNA from 1 species